AUGGGCAACAGAUCGUCUUCCUCAGCUAAGCCUGGCCAGUCUCCGUCCGAGACGGCGUCGAGAUGCCUCACGGAGAGCUUCACGGGGACCCACGAUUUUGAGAUUAUCAACUACUCGCUGCUCGUUGGCAUGGGCGUCGGCAAGUUCGUAAGCUCGAGCACAUUCUGCGUCGGUGGCUACAACUGGAAUAUCAGGCUCUAUCCGGACGGAGUCACGAAAGACCACGCUGGCAAAGGGUCAGUGUUUUUGCACCAUCUCUGCUCACCGGAUUCAAAGGGUGUGAGGACAAAGUUCACAUUAAGCGUUCUGGAGAAACACGGCCAAGUAACCAGGGCUCUAGUCGACCACAUCUUUCCUCGAGCUCAUACUAGUGACGGUUUCGGCUACACCAGAUUCUUCGACAAUUCAAAGCUGAAAUCAAUGCCAGACCUCUACUAUGGCUCAUUGACCAUAAGGUGCGUACUCACCAUCAUAAAAGAAUCUCACACGGAGCUUAAGACGAACCUUGCCGUGGCUCCACCGUCGAAUCUGCAAGAGCAUCUCCGGCACAUGCAUGUGGAUGGAGAUGGUGCAGAUGUGACAUUCAGUGUUCGUGGCCAAUUGUUCAAUGCCCACAGAUGUUUGUUGGCUGCACGGUCCCCGGUUUUCAAGGCAGAACUCUUCGGUCCGAUGAAAGAAAACUCAACUCGGUGCAUCGAGAUUGAUGACAUUGAGCCACAAGUCUUUGAGGCCCUUCUUCACUUUAUAUACACAGAUUGCAUGAUGGAUGGUUAUGAAGAAGGAAAAACUGAAAAUCUACAACACCUACUAGUUGCGGCGGAUCUAUAUGGAGUGGAGAGGUUGAGGGUUAUGUGUGAAGGUAAAUUAUGUGAUAGCAUCGACUUGAAAACAGUCGCGACAACGCUAACUUUAGCGGAGCAACAUAACUGCGGGGUUCUCAAAAAAGCAUGUAUUGAGUUUCUAGCAUCAGGGAAGACACUUGAAGCUGUGAAGAAAACAGAUUCAGAUGUAUUCAAACAUCUCGAGGCAAGCUGUCCUCAUCUCAUGCAGGAGAUUUUAUUCGCAAGGAUGCCUCCCAUGUGA
rnacentral:rRNA from 1 species